GAUGAACGCUGGCGGCGUGCCUAAUACAUGCAAGUCGAGCGAACGGACGAGAAGCUUGCUUCUCUGAUGUUAGCGGCGGACGGGUGAGUAACACGUGGAUAACCUACCUAUAAGACUGGGAUAACUUCGGGAAACCGUAGCUAAUACCGGAUAAUAUUUUGAACCGCAUGGUUCAAAAGUGAAAGACGGUCUUGCUGUCACUUAUAGAUGGAUCCGCGCUGCAUUAGCUAGUUGGUAAGGUAACGGCUUACCAAGGCAACGAUGCAUAGCCGACCUGAGAGGGGGAUCGGCCACACUGGAACUGAGACACGGGCCAGACCCCUACGGGAGGCAGCAGUAGGGAAUCUUCCGCAAUGGGCGAAAGCCUGACGGAGCAACGCCGCGUGAGUGAUGAAGGUCUUCGGAUCGUAAAACUCUGUUAUUAGGGAAGAACAUAUGUGUAAGUAACUGUGCACAUCUUGACGGUACCUAAUCAGAAAGCCACGGCUAACUACGU
rnacentral:rRNA from 1 species